AAUCAACGCUGGCGGCGUGCCUAACACAUGCAAGUCGCGCGCGAAAGGGGGGCGAACUCCCAAGUAGAGCGGCGAACGGGUGAGUAACACGUGGGUAAUCUACCUUCGAGUGGGGAACGAACAACCGGGAAACUAGGUGCUAAUUACCGCAUAACAUCGUCGGGGCGUUCGGUUCUGACGCUCAAAGACUGGGGAGUCGCAAGACCUAGCGCUUGAAGAUGAGCCCGCGUCCGAUUAGCUAGUUGGCGGGGUAAUGGCCCACCAAGGCUUCGAUCGGUAGCCGGCCUGAGAGGG
rnacentral:rRNA from 1 species